rnacentral:ncRNA from 1 species
UGCGCAGCGCAUGUUUGAACACGAUAGUGGUGAAUUUCACGCCCUUCAGCCGCGCGGUGCGGAUAUAUUGCGCGGUCAUCACUUCGGCCAUCGAGGCGCGGGUCAUACGGGCGAUGUAUCCCAUACCAUAAAGCGCGAUGGUCAGCACCGGCAGGGUGAAGUUUGCAAAAGUGGCAUC